CCUACGGGAGGCAGCAGUGGGGAAUUGUUCACAAUGGGCGCAAGCCUGAUGACGCAACGCCGCGUGGAGGAUGAAGGUCUUCGGAUUGUAAACUCCUGUUGCUCGGGAAGCGGUACCGGGUGAGGAAGCCCCGGCUAACUCUGUGCCAGCAGCCGCGGUAAUACAGAGGGGGCAAGCGUUGUUCGGAAUUACUGGGCGUAAAGGGCGCGUAGGCGGCCUGUUAAGUCGAACGUGAAAUCCCCGGGCUCAACCCGGGAACUGCGUCCGAUACUGGCAGGCUUGAAUUCGGGAGAGGGAUGUGGAAUUCCAGGUGUAGCGGUGAAAUGCGUAGAUAUCUGGAGGAACACCGGUGGCGAAGGCGGCAUCCUGGACCGAAUGACGCUGAUGCGCGAAAGCCAGGGGAGCAAACGGGAUUAGAUACCCCUGUAGUC
rnacentral:rRNA from 1 species